rnacentral:misc_RNA from 1 species
UUUCCGUAGGUGAACCUGCGGAAGGAUCAUUACCGAGCGAGGGCCCUAUGGGUCCAACCUCCCACCCGUGUCUCUUGUACCUUGUUGCUUCGGCGGGCCUGCCUCACGGCUGCUAGGGGGCAUCUGCCCUCAAGCCCGCGCCCGCCGAAGACACCUAUGAACUCUGUCUGAAGAUUGCAGUCUGAGUAAAAUGAUAAAUUAUCUAAAACUUUCAACAACGGAUCUCUUGGUUCCG